CCGCCGCCGCCCUUCAUCCCUUCGCCGCCGCACUCGGUCUCACAUCAAAGGCAGCCCACUCACGGGAGAAGAUGAGCUUAUCUCCAUGGCCAGAUUAGGGAGGAAUACGGGUGACGGGAUGGAUUUGGAUCUCAAGGUGGGGAGGCCAACGUAGCCGCCCCUAGCGCGUCGAGCGAAAGCGAAGGAUUUGGAUCUCAUGGAUUUGGCUGCAUCGACCAGCAGAGGACCGCCACCGGCUCGGCUCCUCCACCACGAAGCAACCUCCUUCCACCCCGUAGCCGCCGCCCGAAACCCUAGCAAUCGAGCCCCACCCAUGGCGCCCUAGGUGGUACAGCGGCCAGAGGAGAGGAGAGGAGAGGAGGUGGAGCAGCCAUCGCCUGGACGUGAGCAGCAUCUUGUGCAUGCAUCCAUUGAGGACGUGAGGUGCACACCACAUUUUGGUUCAGUUUUUCCCUUCUUUAUUAUAAUUAUGCCAAGGACAUCUUAUGCCUUACAGUAGUAUUCAGAUUCUCAAGUUUGUUUAUUUAUUCUUAGUGCAAUACUGCUCUCCUGUCUGCAGGAGAUUGGAGGAAAAAAUAUCAGAAAUCGGAAACAUGACGUUUUGGUUCAGUUCUGGAUCAUUUUAUUUUUUGGUUCAGUUUAUAUAAGUGGUUGUUGUUUUAUGUUGCUGCUAGCCAUUACAAUUCAUUUUGUGUUGCUCUGAACUGAAAAAAUAGAGGGGAUAUUGUUGUGCCUAGCGUGAAGUUCACAGUAGGUUUGGCAUCAAUCGAGCAAACUUUGUUACAGUUUUUAGUGGAUGUUGUAUGUAUUACAUUUUUGCUUUUUCUAAAACCACAUGUAUCCUAUAAUCUGAUUACUUUUCUUUGUGUGAGCAGCAGUUUCUGAGCUUUCCCUCCACUAUUUUUUCCUCUCUCUCUCUUUCUCUCUCUCACUCAAUCUCAACUUGGCAAGCGAUGGCGGCAGUGAAUGGGCAGCGCGGGCGUCGAGCGGGAUCAUGGGGGAGCAGGGGAGGCUAGAGGAUGCUCACCAUAUACAUCGCCAUCCAUAGCCGCCCUCGUCCGCCAAGAAGCUGAGGAGGGAGGCUGACCUCCAGUGACCACUCUGCACCGCUCUGGACGACACCCUCCCCCACCAGAUUUCAUCCAGGAAAUUUAGUCCUAGGGACAUUGAUAUACAAUGAUACACCAAAGCAAGCAAAGAAGCCAAAAGAGGUUAAAUGUUUUUACCUGCUGCUGGCAUCCGAUGAGCAGUUGCAGGUGUCAACCAUAGUAUUGUUAUAUGAAGUGAGAGUUGCAUGUGCUUAUCUGAAGCUUAUACUAAUAAUGUGCCUCCCUAAUUGUGGAUGAUCUGGAGCUCAUACCCAUGUUGGAAUUUGCAGCAGGUCUGAUCCCUUGCGCGUGCUCCUCCGCUUGCCCUCUCGACCCUCCCCUUUCUCAUCGCCAUCCAUUUUAUUCAGAGUGUAGAUGGCGGGCAAAACACCUAAGCUCCAGAGCAAGGAUGAAAAGCACUCCAUACACACUCACAAGGAUGAUGAUCCAUUUGUUUCUAGGAUGGUGGGACUUGAGGUCAAACUGCACAGGUAUGCACCAGAUUCAAGGAUCAACUACUUGAUGAAAUAUACAGGAGACUCUCCUACUCAACAUUACCUUAAAA